GCGUCGGUGGUAUAGUGGUUAGCAUAGAUGCCUCCCAAGCAGUUGACCAGGGUUCGAUUCCCGGCCGACGCA
rnacentral:tRNA from 1 species